CAGUCAUGUACUCCCUGCUUGUUCAAUCGAUCAUGACCCUCUCACACAGACCUCCUUAGAGUUGUGAACCCUUAAAAGGGACAGGAAUUGCUCACUCGGUGUGCUUGGUUUUGGAGAUGUGAGUCUGCCUAUACUCCCAGCUGAAUAAAGACUUUUCCUUCUACAACUUGAUGUCUGAGGGGUUCUUGUCUGUGGCUCAUCCUGCCACAUUUAUGUGAUAACAUUGCUGUUUCAGUAGGUUCCAGUCUCAAGUUUGAAAACAGUAUAUAAUUUCUUCUAGAUAUUAUAUUUACCCACAUUUAAUCCUCAACAUCAUAAACUUGAAAUCUCACCUGCUGAAUGACUAUUCUUCUAUAGCCCAAAUUCGUGUGUUUUUGUCAUGUGAUAAAUUGCCGUUCGAUGAACAUUGACUCUGGUGCUGUGGUCGCCAUGCAGGUCUCGGUAUGAGGGUUCACUGGGAAGGCAGCCUGCUCUCAUGGAGAUGGCAUCUCAGAGAUAAUGGCAGAGGGAGAUAAUCACAUCACUAACCUGCUGGCUACAGAGACUGCAAGUCUGGAACAACAGCUGCAAGGAUGGGGAGAAGUGAUGCUGAUGCUGAUAAAGUCCUCCCAUGGGAAACAGCCUGGUUUCCACCUGCCAUCAUGGGUGUGGUUUCUUUGAUGUUUCUGAUUAUCUACUAUCUAGAUCCAUUUGGCUGAUUACAUUGUUCCCAUUCUGGUGCCUAGAAUUUUUGGCUCCAAUAAAUGGACCACUGAACAACAGCAAAGAUUUCAUGAAAUUUGCAGCAAUCUAGUUAAAAACUCUCUGCAGAGCUAUGGGUUGGUGGAAAUGCCUCUUCACACUAAAGGAAGAUAAACCUAAGAUGUACUUCAUGACCAUGAUCAUUUCCCUAACUGAGAUUGCUUAGGUGGGACAGCAAGUUCACAACUUGCUUCUCACCUACCUGAUAGUGACUUCUUUACUAUUGCUUCCUGGACUAAACCAACAUGGAAUCAUUUCUAAGUACACUGGAAUGGCCAAAAGGGAGCUAACCCAACUUCUCAAACAAAAAGAAUAGAAAAAUGAAUAAUUCAUCUGCUUUAUUCAGUGUGAUUAAUGGAGCACCCAUUGCCCCUGGGAAUGGUUUCUGCUGUACUAUCUGGAUACUAAAAUGUUACAGAAGUAGCUCUUUGCUCUCCCUCACUCUGCCCGUAGUUAAUAGAAAUGCAGGCUCGCCAAGUUAUGCUUUGUGCAUAGUGUCUUCAUGUCAUGUAUACUUGAGUACGUUCUUACCAGUUGGCCUCAUGGACAACUCAUUAGUAUGUAUGACUUGUUUUGAUUUUUCUUACCCAGGGUUAAUUGAAUUCUUGCUUUUAGACAACUUCCUUUUUUAUAGUGGUGAACCUUGCCCUUUAGUACGAUUCAAGUGACUCUGGAUAAUUGUUCAAGUUCGUCUUUGCUCUUGCUGGAUACAAGGUAGUGGUCUGUGGCUACAGGAAGCUGGUUCUACUGUCUGCUUCCACAGUCUGCUUAAAAAACUCUCUGACUUUGUGAAUAUAGAGACCAAGUUUACCACUUGCGAUGAAGAGACCAAUUAAGAUUCAUUCCUCAUUCUGUUUCUUUCCCAUGGGAGAAGAAUCCCCAUGUAAUAAAAUGAAACUGAUUCCAUGCACUAGUAUGUGUAGGUUUCUCGCUUGUGCAAAGCUUAGCAAUUUGUAGGAAACUUUGAUCUUUUUGUCCAAAAAAAAGGAAUGUCCGACAGGCUUAAGCUUUUGUCCCUUUGCACUUAGACUUGAAGUUAGUAAAUCCUUAAAGGCCUUUCAAUAGCAGACUUCCAAAAGAUUGGAUUUAGGAUUUCUAGCAUAUUUUUAAUUUCAGAUUUUCAACUGAUUUUAGCUAUAGUAUACAGUAGGUUAAAAUUCAUGUCUAUGACUUUAGGACCAGCAGUAAAGGAUACCAGUCUUCUGUGUUUAGGCAAGAUUCAUUUCAGUAGAAGAUAAUCUUAUCUGACUAAUUUUUGAGACCAGAAUAAGCCUUUUAAGAAUAAGCCUUUUAAGGUAAACCUCACAAUUCUCGUUUUAUGGUAAUACUGGUCAUUUCAGUCCCCUGGGUUUGGCAUGGGAGAUAGUGACUACACUGGUGUCUGACUUUUUCCUAGAGAUUUCUCCCUGAAAAAUACAAGGGCUGCUGGUGAGAGCAGACUUGAGGUGAUGAUAGUUGGCCUUUGGUCUACAAAGAUUUUGUAACUCCUUGGAAAGCUUCUUAUAAUCAUUCUUAACUUCUCGAUAGCUAGAAAUUUAGAGUAUUUGAAAUCUGUAGGAAUGAAAUCUGUAGGAAUGAAAGCCAAAAAUGUGACUGACUUGGGAACAAUUCUUAAACUGAUUAACUGGCUGUAAUACGGUUUUGUGAAUUUAUUGCACCGAUGUUGUACCUUGUGGUAUAUCUGUGCCUAUUAAAUAAGUGUUGUUUUUUUGUCUUUAAUAUUGUUGUAAACAGUGGUGCCUAUUAUAGCAUAUAUUUGAUUUUUUAAAAAAAUAUUUCAUAAGAAAACUACCUUAAUUUUACCUUACUUUCAUUGUAAAUAAGCCUGUCUUCCUAUCUGGAUUUUUUUAUGUAUACAUGUUCUACUACAUGUAUACACAUUUUUUUGUGUAUACAUGUUCUACAGAAUAACUUUUUCAGUUUUAAUCCUUUAUUAUUUCUUCUACUUUGUUUUGUGUAAAAGGGGAAAAAAUUCAAAAAGUUGGAAUCUUAAAAAAUAAAAAUAAAAAUAAAAAAUUAACAUUUGACUGUACAUACCAGAGCGCACAACAGGUGCUAGAAUAUAAAAGAAGAUGAAUCUCUGCCUUCAAGAGGUACAGGGUUUAAUGAACUCUGGGUGACCAUUUAGUUAUUUGUCAAGCCUCUGUGAAGGGUAUUCUGACAUUGAGUGGCAGUUGCAGUAGUUGACCUUCGGACUUUAUAUUGGAGAAUCCCGUGUGUGUGUGUGUGUGUGUGUGUGUGUGUGUGUGUGUGUGUGUUUCUUUUUUCUGUCUCAGGUUAUCUGGCAGGCUGGAUCAGGCACACAACAAAUGAAAGCUUUUAUUAUUACCUUAGAGAGGCAGCUUAGUAACAUGGAGAGAGGUCAGAUGUUGGUGCUAGAGAUCUGAGUUCAAAUCCUAGCUUUAUCAUUUAGGAGUUGUGACGUUGGAUCAGUUAUUUCACUUCUUUGAGCCUCUACCUUUAUAAAGGGAAGACUAUCUAAUGAGGAUAUUGUGAAGAAAAGUCAUGAUACACAUGAAGCACCUAGCACAGUUCUGGCACAAAGCAGGGCCCAGCUAAGGCCAGCCAGGGGUGGCAGCAGCAAUCCUGAGCCAUAACGCCACCAGGAGAAGUGACCUGAGCGGCAACAGCAGAUGUGACAGCAACUUUCUUCUUCUCCUUGUUUGCUCAGAUGCUGCCUUUAUAAUGGUAAUGGAGUAUUUUCAAAUUCAAAGUCUAUUCCAGAGAUAAAGAAAAAUGAUAGUGGGUUUCCCUGUAAUUAAUGGCAUUUUUUAGCAUUUCAGUCAGAUUAUAAAUAGGAUAUAAGAUGCCUUAUGUGGUGAAUAACACAUCUUUCUAGUUUUCUAGAUUUAUGAAUUUAGCCCAUAUGAAAUUAAUUAUUGUGGGUGUAUUACAUGGAUGUGAAACAUCUGGAAUAAUAGGAUUUUAUUGUUAAUAGACCUCUCAGGAGCUCGUGACAAACAUCCUUAUAAUAGCAACAUAUGCUGCUAGUUUAAUGAGAACCAUCCUUGACAAUUAAUGGUUCUUGUGCUUUCAGUAAUUUACACAUUUUCAAAUUUUAUAUUCUUUAUUUCCAUCUUUAUGGUUUCAGUUUGUGGCUUGUUUGAAAUUAAGGCCAGAACUCCUUACAGAGGAGAAAAAAAAAUUAUUUAGUGUAUACUAUGUGCCAAGCACUGUGCUAUAUAUUUUAUAUAUGCGAAUGUACAUGAACAUGAAAUUACUUUAAAGCCUGACAACAACCAGGCAUCUCUUUAUUUACAAAUAGGAAGCCUGAGGCACAGUGAGAUUAGUAGCUCAUCAAUGUGGAUGCUCCAGCUAGAAUUAAAAGUUGAAUUUCUCUGUCCUUUCAAUCAUUAGAAAAGAAAGUAGAAUAUUGUAGAAAAGAUUCCCUUUUCUAGAAAUCGUAUUUCUGCUUUCAAUAGUCCUUUUAACUUUCUACAUAACAACCUUCAAGUUAUUCCUGGGACAUAUUGGGCUUAAGCUGAUGUGGGCAAGGAGUUAAUAAAGAUAACUGAAUUUAAACUUCUGACGUAUUUCAAAACCUAGUCUGUGCGUGGUACAAGGUCAGUCAAGAGCUAUGGAAAUAUCCAAGAGGAGAAUAUUCUGUUUUUUCUUGUUCUCUUGAUGCUGAGAAAAGGGAAUUUUUACUGAACACUAUGCACAAUUCAUAGUUCAGCCAUUAGUUAACCUGCUUCUCUGAAGAGUAAGGCUUGGCCCAGACCCCAAAGCUCACCCUCCUGCUCUUCCCCCACAAGUUUGGUUCAGAUUCUGUCAAAUUAAACAUUAUUGAUAUAUUUCAGGAAAAUGACAGAAAGUGUACGUGAUUUGGCCACCAAACCAGAAAACGUGAUUAAGGGAAGGGGAAUAAAUGGUAGGUACACUGUUGCAUGGAGAAGGCAGAAUUAGUUCCCUGCAGGCUUCAUUAAUCUGCAUUUAGUCAUUGUUGCCUUUGUAUAAAGAUAAAGGCAAAAUUCUUAUUUCAGUAUUCUAUCUUAUGUCUUCACAACACUCAAUAUUAUUUGAAACAGUCCUGUUCAACUAUUAUAAAAUCUUGAGUAUUAAUUCUUCCCCUCAUAAGAAUGUAAGCUCCAUGAGAGCACGUACCUUUCCUGUCUUUAUUGAAUGAAUGAAUAAAUACCUUUAUAUUCAAACAGGAUAAAUUCUACCUUAUAUCAUAUAUUCAUUCACUGAAUCAUUUAAAGAAUGUGUGUUGUGUGCUGAAGUAGGUAUAUUCACAUAAUAUAUGCACACAAGUAUGCACAAACAAUAGGCAAAUUUGCAUAACAAGUUAGGUAGUAAGCUUCAAAUAGUAGUCGGACCUCUGCCUUGUUCCAUGAACUCGGAAAGCUCCACAGCUUUCUGUGCCUCUUUCGUCACAUCUAUAAAAUGCUAAAGUAUGCUGGCUUUAGCCUGCCCCAGCAAUAGCAUGUACUCUGUUGCUUCUGCCCUGACUUAGGCCUGGACCACUGAGAAUCUGGCCUGGUAGAAAAUAGGUGAUUUUCUCCUACUAAAACACAGCAUCUAGACACAGCCUGCAGAUCGCAAACCAGAUGCUCCCUUUGCAUGUUUAUAAGCAAAAUUGGGCACUUUCAGGAGCCCCAGGACGUGACAGGGAUCCGUCCACUAUCAGAUGUGAUUGUGGGGCUAGAUUGGCUGCUGUCUGGGCCCUUGGUUCUCCCUCCAGUCUCCACAGAAAGAGGACCCUGGUCCUCAGACUCUGGUCUGCUGUGGACUUGGCACAUAGUAAGUCUGUUAACCCCUUUCCUGGAGUCUAGGCCCUGUGCUUGGCUUUCCAGAUAUUACUUUAGUAUCUCCAAGUUCUAUAGGUUGGCCAAACUCCAGAUGCCCUAACUCCUUACAUCUGAUGCCUUAAAUGCUGACAUUUCAAGCCAAGCUUAAGUUUUUCUACAACUCUUCUGAAUCUCCCAAGUCGAAUAGCUGACAGAUUCAAAAGAGAUAUGAAAAAACUUAAGCUUGAUCCUCCCUUAUCACAACUAGUCUGGUGAAUUUCCCUCAGUUACCAUACUGUACUCACUACUGUUUCAGUACUAUGUAAAGGGGAAAGAUGGUUAUAAACUGUGUAGCAUCUUGUUUGUGUUUAUGUGUAUUUAAAACAGAUCUAACGGGAGUCAUUGAAUACCCUUGCAAAAUAAAGUCCCUUUGAGAUGCAAGAUAAGUUGCAAACAGUCUCCACUAAUCAUUAAAUACAAGGUGCAUUCACUCCUCAGGUGGGUAGUUUAUGCUUCUAGGGUAAGCUAAAUGCAACAAACUAUAGACACAUCCUUUCACUAAUGAUAGAAAUUGCCUCAUGCUGAACUUUGGCUCAAGAUAUUCCUACACAUGAAGAUUGAAGCCACAUUAUAAAGCUGCUCUGGAUUCUAUAUUAUGAAGCCCAGAGUGACCUUAAGGGUUGAAGUAGUGGCCAGGCAUGGUGGCUCACGCAUGUAA